GAUGAACGCUGGCGGCGUGCCUAAUACAUGCAAGUCGAGCGAACAGACGAGGAGCUUGCUCCUCUGACGUUAGCGGCGGACGGGUGAGUAACACGUGGAUAACCUACCUAUAAGACUGGGAUAACUUCGGGAAACCGGAGCUAAUACCGGAUAAUAUAUUGAACCGCAUGGUUCAAUAGUGAAAGACGGUUUUGCUGUCACUUAUAGAUGGAUCCGCGCCGCAUUAGCUAGUUGGUAAGGUAACGGCUUACCAAGGCGACGAUGCGUAGCCGACCUGAGAGGGUGAUCGGCCACCCUGGAACUGAGACACGGUCCAGACUCCUACGGGAGGCAGCAGUAGGGAAUCUUCCGCAAUGGGCGAAAGCCUGACGGAGCAACGCCGCGUGAGUGAUGAAGGUCUUCGGAUCGUAAACCGCUGUUAUUAGGGAAGAACAAAUGUGUAAGUAACUAUGCACGUCUUGACGGUACCUAAUAAGAAAGCCAGGGCUAACUACGUG
rnacentral:rRNA from 1 species